GUCUAUGGCCAUACCAUCCUGAACACGACUGGUCUCAUCUGAUCUCAGAAGCUAAGCAGGAUUGGGCCUGGUUAGUACUUGAAUGGCAGACUGGCUGGGAACACUGGGUGCUGUAGGCU
ensembl:rRNA 5S_rRNA 5S ribosomal RNA